rnacentral:tRNA from 1 species
GGGGAUGUAACUCAAUGGUAGAGUGCUUGCCUUGCCUAGCAAAUGUGAGGCCCUGGGUUCAAUCCCCAGCAUCACCA